UUAAUGCGUCGUCUAUAACCGGUUUAUUGUGUUAACCAAAGCUCAUUAAUCACGUUUUGGAGCGGAACCGUGCGGUGCCGUCGUCUCGCGAGGCGACGGCACCGGCCCGUGCUCCCAGGUCUUACCGACGGGAGCUCACGCGUUGUGUGCAUCGUUCCCACUCAGCAACGCCUUCGACGGAUCGAGUGUGGGCGACCUUGUUUUGGCGCGUGAUUCCAGCCAAGGCGGCAAAAUCACCCAACGAGCGCUACCGUUUUCCCCGUAAAACUCCAUCCCUCUACCUCACAAAUUGUUGAAGCAGCAACUGACGGGCCAUGACUAAGGAGAAUCACGAGGCUGCAGCGAUGCCGGAUCUGCUAGCUGCAGCGGUGGCGCUGGGCCAGAAGGCCGGCCGCCAUGGCGGCGCAGGACUGGAUUCAGCUACAACUACCUCCCUAUUGGAGCCAUGGCGUCCUUCUCCGAGGGGAUUCAGCCUGCGCCGGUGCCUAAGCUUCAGCGGCAGUGCAACCAUCUCCCCCACACAAGUCCAUGGGGCCCUUCAACCAGCGACAAACUCUGCUGCUUGGUGCCAAGACAGUGGUGAUAGCCCGGUGCCUGAUCCAUGUAUGAAACCUCCAUCUUUAGAUCUGGGAGAUUGGUAAUAAUUUUGUCUGUGUUUUCUCUAAGAAAUUUUGUGUUUCAGCCUCUCAAUUGCAAUGAAAUGAACUGUCUUGGUCAUUCCAAAUGCAAUGAAAUUAACUUGAUUGUUAGCUGUCCAUUGAACCACCUGUUUUCUUUGUCUUGCAGAUUAUAAUUGAUUUGUGUGUUUGGAUGCAACCAGAGCCUUAUAAAAUUGAUAUGCAUUUUUAUAAGUGCACAUUGUAUCUAAAUCUGUUGCUCUGUGGUCAAUUAUGUAUCUAUAGCUUGACAGAUACAAACUUGUUACAAUAGAACUUGCCUAUCUAUGAUAGUUACUAAAUUUAUCUUGUAUUGUUGUGCCAUAGUGAUGACAAAAUGUAGUUAACUGAUAUCUAUGUACAUCUACUGAGUUCACGGUUCUAUGAUUACAAUUGUUUUUUAAUCUAGGCACAACCUGGGCAUUUUUGUUCUGCAUUUUUUCUUGCUACUCUGCUAGCCACUCCACUCAGGAAUGAUUGAGAAGUUGAUUGAUGAAGGCGUGGGUGAGUGACUUGUUGUCAUGUGAUGCAAAACCUACUAAAUUAUUCAACUAGCAAACUGAGAUGAAAUUAUAGUUGGUCUGACAAUAAUUUGUGGAUAGCUGCAACCUUACUACAAGUUAAUGAUCAAUUAUAUUUGUGGAAUGGUUCCUAUACAAUGUUACUGUUUUUUAUUUCUCUACUCGGGAUGAAAUCUGGUUAUCUGGACAUUGGUGAGCUUGUGCACAUAUUAUCUUAUCAAGGUAGGCAGAACAUUGUCACUGCUCUGGAUGUAGCAAUGCCCGACCCUUCUUUGACAGAAGGAAAAGAUCUGCAGAACAUACAGAAAAGCUUGCGUGCUCUGACCCCUGAAAUUAGUGAUGAAGAUGAAGACCCGUAUGCUGUUGAAUCGUGGAUGGUUCAUGGAGCUCUGGACAUGGCAAAGCAUCUGGCCAAAAAAUGUUGCGCCCGUUCUACCCUGAUAUGCAUCUAACGUCAGAUUUUUAUUACAUACACCAUCUCUGCCAGUGUAUCAGAGGAUUAACUAUAUUUUGGUAUGCGGAAAUUAUGUAGCUGCCUGAGAUGUCUUCUUGCGAUGAAAAGAUUCAUAUCCCCAAAGCAUACUUUCAUAUAUGCAAUAAAAUAGUACACAAAGAUCAAUUGUAUGAUUGAUCACCAUGUUU